CAGGCCUAACACAUGCAAGUCGAGCGGAGUGAUGGUGCUUGCACCAUCACUUAGCGGCGAACGGGUGAGUAAUACCUAGGAAUCUGCCCAUUAGCGGGGGACAACGUGUGGAAACGCACGCUAAUACCGCAUACGCCCUACGGGGGAAAGCAGGGGACUCUUUGAGCCUUGCACUAAUGGAUGAGCCUAGGUCAGAUUAGCUAGUUGGUGGGGUAAAGGCCUACCAAGGCGACGAUCUGUAGCGGGUCUGAGAGGAUGAUCCGCCACACUGGAACUGAGACACGGUCCAGACUCCUACGGGAGGCAGCAGUGGGGAAUAUUGGACAAUGGGCGCAAGCCUGAUCCAGCCAUGCCGCGUGUGUGAAGAAGGCCUUUUGGUUGUAAAGCACUUUAAGCGAGG
rnacentral:rRNA from 1 species